rnacentral:rRNA from 1 species
GAUGAACGCUAGCUACAGGCUUAACACAUGCAAGUCGAGGGGAAACGACAUCGAAAGCUUGCUUUUGAUGGGCGUCGACCGGCGCACGGGUGAGUAACGCGUAUCCAACCUGCCCAUCACUUGGGGAUAACCUUGCGAAAGUAAGACUAAUACCCAAUGAUAUCUCUAGAAGACAUCUGAAAGAGAUUAAAGAUUUAUCGGUGAUGGAUGGGGAUGCGUCUGAGUAGCUUGUUGGCGGGGUAACGGCCCACCAAGGCAACGAUCAGUAGGGGUUCUGAGAGGAAGGUCCCCCACAUUGGAACUGAGACACGGUCCAAACUCCUACGGGAGGCAGCAGUGAGGAAUAUUGGUCAAUGGGCGAGAGCCUGAACCAGCCAAGUAGCAUGCAGGAAGACGGCCCUAUGGGUUGUAAACUGCUUUUAUAAGGGAAUAAAGUGAGAGUCGUGACUCUUUUUGUAUGUACCUUAUGAAUAAGGACCGGCUAAUUCCGUG